UUCAGCACAAUAACAAGAGACAGUCAUAGCCCGAGCUUAAUAACGCUAAUAUUGAUUUCACGUUGCUUCUUGUUACUUUAUAUAUAGAAUGCAUUCAUUUAAAAUUGAUCUCAUCUCGUGCAAAGACCACCGACAACCCCUCCCCACUACCCGCCACAGCAACUUCAGUUACCUCCAGAUGACUAGGAGCCAGAUAGCGAGUUAGUCACUGACUGACAAUGAAUACAUAACAAGUAUUGUGCAGAACAUCAAUAUAUUGGACACAACCAUUUAAAGAGGAUACAACAACUCUGGGGGAAAAAAUACAUCUUGCAAGUCAAUUUCCAAGAGAAGAUCUGGAUCCCAUUUUCAGAAAUUGGAGUUUGGAACAAAAGAGCAUUACAAAUUUCACAACAUGAUUAUCAUGUUGAUUAGGUGCUUUCUGAUUCGCAAAAUAUUACAGUUUGAUUAAAAUGAGCGUGCAAAUAAAUAAACUUACAUUACCUUUCAAGCAAUUAAAUUAACUGAACAACCAAAAACAGUGCUAUCUAAAUCUCCUACUCUCAGUUGAAACUUCAUAGAAAUCUUUUGUGUAAACUUACUCGAAUCAUUAAAGAGACUGGGAGGGUAAUGUUGUACAGCCCAUGAUAGUUUUGUCUCUAUAAAUUUCAUGGUUAUAAUAACUUGUAAGGUUAUCUAUGAUGCUGAAAAGCAUUUGUAUGUGUAAAGGUCUAUACACUGGGAUUUGUUUUUACCAUUCACUAUUCAAUGUCAAAACUUCAGCUUGAUGAUAAAUGCAACAAUUAGUCACUGCUGGUGUCAUUAUUGUAUGACAAUGUUUUUAUUUAUUCUUCAGUAAUUGUUUUAUUAUUUAAUUGUUUAAACACAGCACUCAAAACCAUCAUGUUAUAAAUUAGUUGUGUGGACUACUACAAUGCUGUGCUGCAGGUAGUCCAGUAUUGGUGGAUGACACUCUGCCAUAAUAUUAUAACACCCAGUUCUUUAAUUGAUCCUUUUUUCAGUCAUUUAAAGGCAGCAAUAGAGAAACUUCCUGAUGCUUGCUGGCUGACUGCAAUUUGAGAUAAGGUAUGGAUUUUCACAGCAAAAGAUUGGAAGAAAAGUGAUUAAAUUGUGGUUAAGUGGCAAGCAUCCUAAGGCCAGUGUUGUGAUGUACUGUCAAACAUCAUCCCAUGUAGCCUGCCUAUCCAAUACUUCUCAUUUCAACACAGGCAAUCAUGCAUGUGAUUUGAUAAAAGCUGUUAAGUGCUGUGUUCUAUUCUUCUACUUAACUCCAUACUGCUGUUAUUUAAAGUGGAAUGUUUACUUUGCAAGUAUAAAUAUCUUUAUUUGUGGGCUUUUCUGAAAUGAAAAUGAGAUGAUUGUUCAGUGCUUCAAUUGUAUUUUUCAUGGAAACCACAUGGAUCUUUUCCAGAAGGUUAAUCGUAUUGUUUGAAGAGUUUAAUUUCCAGCAGAUGUAGCUGUGGAGUAGGUCUGACUGUGGAAUAGAGCUCUCUUUAAUCUGCAAACAUGUUUUUUUGUCUGUUAUACUGGCUAAUUGUGCUAAUUGUCCACAUGGUCAGAGCAGGCUUUAAACUCCAUCUAAAACUUCAAGUGACAGGAAAAGACAAUCUCCAAGCUAGGGGAAGACGGUGAGAAAAGAGUGACACAAUCGAGUGAGAAACAAUAAGAAUAGAACAUCCCUGAUUUUUAACCAUGCAAUCAUUGAUAGUCUUCAAAUGACUAGGCCCCAAGCUCUGGAAUUUCCUCUCUGCAUCUCAUUGCUGUUCUGUCCCACUGAGGGCACUUCUUCAAGCUUAGCUCUUUGAAUGGGAUUUUGGUCUUCUGUCCUCAAAACACUUUGUUCGGUAUCAAACUUUGCUUGACAAUGCUCCGUUGAGAUGAUUUAAGUUUAAAGGUGCUAUAUAAAUCUAAAUUGUUGUUGUUGUUCAGGGUGAGAAGAGACAGUGAAAAGAACAUGAGAAGAGAAACAGUCAUGGUAGGGGAAAGAUAGGGAAGACUGAGAGAGAUGGAGGAUGGGGCAAUUAAGCAAAUGAGGAAUGAGUAAAAUAAUAAAGUAGAAGUGGAAGAGUUAAAAUGGAAGUAUGAGUAUUCCUAAUGAUUUAAGCAAAUGUUUCUAUUUAUUUCAUAAUUCUAAAGGCUUUUUAUUAAUGUAAAGUUUAAUUUCAUUGCCAUUACUGAGGCAGGGAAAUCUCAUUCUUAUCAGCUGGAGACAUGUCACCUUCCAAGUUUGGACUGCUUGUAAAUAAGGUAACUCAGUUGCUUUUGCUUAAAACUAGCUCAUGUUCUGUUGCUGCAUUUGCUGUUUUAUUCUUUGUGGUCCAUGAUGGCUCCCUUCAACUCCACCUCUUGAUGCCAAAGGAUUAUUUUUAAUUUUCAAUUUUUCUAGGAUCGAUGUCCUGAUCUUAAACUCAAAGUAAUGGUUUAUAGCAGCAACUUAUUAACUCAUGAAAUUUUAAUAAGGAUCCUGUGCACCAUGCAGCAAAUAAAGUGCUGAUGAAUUCCUAAGGUGGAUUUCUGGAAGAUUUACUCAAAGGACAUUUAUGUCAGGG